rnacentral:rRNA from 1 species
CCUGGCUCAGAUUGAACGCUGGCGGCAUGCCUUACACAUGCAAGUCGAACGGCAGCGGACCUUCGGGUGCCGGCGAGUGGCGAACGGGUGAGUAAUGCAUCGGAACGUGCCAUUGAGUGGGGAUAACGUAGCGAAAGUUGCGCUAAUACCGCAUAUUCUGUGCGCAGGAAAGCAGGGGACCGCAAGGCCUUGCGCUCUUUGAGCGGCCGAUGUCAGAUUAGCUAGUUGGUGAGGUAACGGCUUACCAAGGCGACGAUCUGUAGCGGGUCUGAGAGGAUGAUCCGCCACACUGGAACUGAGACACGGUCCAGACUCCUACGGGAGGCAGCAGUGGGGAAUUUUGGACAAUGGGGGCAACCCUGAUCCAGCCAUGCCGCGUGAGUGAAGAAGGCCUUCGGGUUGUAAAGCUCUUUCGGCCGGGAAGAAAUCGCAUGGGUUAAUACCCUGUGUGGAUGACGGUACCGGCAUAAGAAGCACCGGCUAACUACGUG